rnacentral:tRNA from 1 species
AAUUAUGUGCCUGAUUAAAGGGUUAAUUUGAUAGAUUAAAUAAUGGUUAAUGGUUU